UGGGAUAAGCUUGGGAAACUGGGUCUAAUACCGGAUAGGAACCGUCUUUAGUGUGGUGGUUGGAAAGUUUUUCGGUGCAAGAUGAGCCCGCGGCCUAUCAGCUUGUUGGUGGGGUAAUGGCCUACCAAGGCGACGACGGGUAGCCGGCCUGAGAGGGUGUACGGCCACAUUGGGACUGAGACACGGCCCAG
rnacentral:rRNA from 1 species